UGACACUCUUUCGCCUACUCUCUAUCUCAAAACAAUUCUAUAUUGUUUUUCUUAUAUAUUUUAUUUAUAAUAAUAAUAAAGCCCUGCUUCGUUUUAAGUGUUUUAACUCCCGAUCACCGCUACCCUUUCCGAUUGAUCUAAGUCUCAUAACAUAUGUCAGGGCUCUGCCCGACUAAGUUGUUGGGAUUCGGUCUCGGGACUUCGGGACAAGGUUGAAUUAGGGGUACUAUACUUAACACGAGUACAUUAUAUUUUAAUAGCCCAAAAGUUAUACCCAAAAUUUAUACCAGGAGUCUUUCUAGUUGAACCCUAAAGUUACACAGUAGGUCCACUCUCUUUUCUCACUAUUUUAUUCUCUUUUUGUGAUUUACCCAAACCUAUUAUUUAUUAUUUAUUUUGUAAACGAAUCUCAUCAAAAGUCAUACCUAUUAUUUUAUUUACCCAAUAGGAAACCCUAGUUGAGACACCCAAGUAAUCCUGCACAACUCCUAAAAUUUUCAUAGCAAUCAGAAUCAGGAUUUGGGCCCCUAAAACUCAGAGGGGGACAAUUCCCAUUCGAUAUUAUCUUAAAAUCUCGUUGUCAAAAUUGAAUUUUAUUAUUCUGUCAACUCAGCAAGCCUACCCCUAAACGUGUCCACCCUAGGCUAGAAAAUAGACCCGUCGCGCCACGCGACGGGUGCACAUGUUCUUGUCGCGACACGCGAGAGGGACGAUUUUCCAGCUAUAAAUAGUAGGCUGUGGGACUUGAUUUCUGGAGUUGGAACGACGGAAAAUUCCGUCUUACACUCCGAGUUAUAACCGUUCUACUAUAAAACACCCACAAUCACGAAUUCUGCUACGAUACAGGGUAUUAACUCGAUCGCUAUUACGAUUCAACGUCCGAUCGAUUAUAACUAUCCAACGAUUGUUUGAGUGCUGCUCAAAUUGAGUUUAUACUUUGUUAUUCAUCGUGAUUUCGACUUGAAUGUUUGAGUGCUGUCUAAAUUCAGACGAUACUCUGUCAUUCGUUGUGAAUCCGCUGAAUUGUUAAGUAUUGCACUUUAUUAAUCGUUGUGAGGGUUUAAUCUCGUGAAUUGUCGUAAAUGUUGUAUUAGUUAUUUACCUAGUUUCGUGUGCAUCAUUUCAUAAAUUAGGUAUUAGUCUUACCAGUAGACUAAUCUUUACCCCCACGCACUUACAAUCAAAGUAGAUGCUAAUUCUCAGAAGAAUCUGAAUCAUGAAGCUUGUUAAUUCAAUACUGCAUGCUUAUAAUGUCAUUACAGUAGAUUGGAGUAAGAAUUGGAUCCGGCACUGAAGGACUUCAAGAAGUGGCUUCUUUAUUUUAAUUAAAUCAA
rnacentral:lncRNA from 1 species